AGUGAACGCUGGCGGUAGGCCUAACACAUGCAAGUCGAACGGCAGCACAGUAAGAUCUUGCUCUUACGGGUGGCGAGUGGCGGACGGGUGAGGAAUACAUCGGAAUCUACUUUUUCGUGGGGGAUAACGUAGGGAAACUUACGCUAAUACCUCAUACGACCUACGGGUGAAAGCAUGGUAUCUUCGGACCUUGCGCGAUUGCAUGAGCCGAUGUCGGAUUAGCUAGUUGUCGGGGUAAAGGCCCACCAAGGCGACGAUCCGUAGCUGGUCUGAGAGGAUGAUGGGCAAAACGGGAACGGAGAAACGGUCAAGACUCCUACGGGAGGAAGAAGUGGGGAAUAUUGGAAAAUGGGGGCAAGCCUGAUGCAGCAAGACCGCGUGGGUGAAGAAGGCCUUCGGGUUGUAAAGCCCGUUUGUUGGGAAAGAAAAGCAGCAGGUGAAUACCCCGCUGUUGUGACGGUACCCAAAGAAUAAGCACCGGCUAACUUCGUG
rnacentral:rRNA from 1 species